CGGUGUGGGGACACGUAGCUGGUGGGAUCGCGCCAUGGCCUGGGCCCCUCUGCUCCUCGUGGUGCUCGCCCACGGCUCAGGUUCCCUGGUCCAGGCAGCACUGACUCAGCAGCCGGCCUCGGUGUCCGUGUCCCCGGGAGAAACUGCCCGCAUCACCUGCUCUGGGGGUGACAGUGACAACUGGGGCAGCAGCAACUAUGGCUGGAUCCAGCAGAAACCUGGUGGUGCCCCGGUCACUGUGAUAUAUGAGAACAACAAGAGACCCUCGAAUGUCCCUGCGCGAUUCUCCGGUUCCAAGUCCGGCUCCACGGCCACGUUAACCAUCACUGGGGUGCAAGCCGAGGACGAGGCCGUGUAUUACUGUGGUAGCUGGCCCAGCGGCAGUGGUGCUCUCAUGGGGACACUGAGCAUUGGGGAAGUGAGGGUCCCUGGUCCAGGCAGGGCUGACUCAGCUGGCAUUGGUGUCUGUGUCCCCGGGAUAAACUGCCCGGAGGAUCUGCUCUGGGGGUAGCAGUGCUUCUGGAUAGUUCCAGCAGAAAUGUGGUGGGAUCCUGCAGGAAGACUGUGAUUUAUGGGCAGAGCAGGAGAUACUCCGGCAUCUCUGCGUGAUUCUCCAGUUCCACAUCUGGCUCCACAUCCACGUUAGCCAUCCCUGGGGUCCAAGCUGAAGACGCGGCUGAGUAUUACUGUGGCAGCCAGGACAGCAGGGCUGAGCAUGGUCAAGGUGUCCCCUGGGGUGGCGGCAGGUGGCUGUGGGGGAGGUUGGUGCUGCCGGGUGCCAUUGUUCAGUGACAACUAACACGGGUGUCCUGCAGCUUCCGGGGGCCAUUUUGCAGGCACUGGUGAGCCAGGAGGCCUCGGCCUCGGUGACAGCCAGCGGGCGCAUCGCUCUGUCCUGCAGCCUGAGCACAGGUCUGUCAUGUCUGGCAAGUAGGCAGACUGCAUGCAGAGGAAUGUGGCCCUUUCCCCAAAGGUGUGAGCUACAGAGCUAGCGACUGACCCUCAAGGGGCCCAGGGCAGUUCUCGGAGUCCCUCUGGGGCAGCGUGGGCAUGCUGACCAUCGCACGGGCCCGGGGGGAGGACGAGGCUGGCUAUUACUGCGCUCCGUGGGCUCGUAGUGCACAGCACACUGGUGGGGGCACUCAGGCAAGUGGGGCAAAACCUGCCUGUCCUGGCUGCUCCCUGCUGCUGGGGCCAGGCCUUGCUCAGGGGAAGCCCUGCAGGGCGCUGUGGAGCAGUAGUGCCGUGUCCUUCCCUCGUGCCGAUGUUCCCGGAGACUUGCUCCUUCUGUGGAGGCCCCUGUCAGGGUUUCCAGCCCGAGGUGCCUUUGUGCAGCCUCCGUACAGCAGCGUGAGCUGGGGACUGUUGGGUCCAGCGUUGGGAACGACCGCCCAGCGCUGGCAGGCGAGGUGCUGCUUUCUGCGCCUUCAGCGGGCCGAGUUGCUUGAGUUCACGAAGCCUCGAAGCAUAUUUGCAUCUGCUUAGAGCUUCUCAGCUUGUCAGCACCCCUUCUCGUUGUUUCUCUUUCCGCUUCAGUCUAACGGGGUGGAGGCCACGAGAGGGGGCUGCAGCAGCACCUUGGACUGUGAAUCAGGCAGGGCGCUCCAGCUGCUGCUUGUGAGCUUGUCGAGGGGUUGGUCCUGGUUUACAAGCCCACCUCGAAGCACGGGGAGCUGCUGAGGAGCAGCAGAGAGGUGGUGGGAAAUACUGUGUGUCUAGGAAGGAGCUGCUGCCUUGCUGGCCUCAAGGUGUCCCAGGUGGUGGUGGCUUGGGGUGGAAGCUGCUGUGUAAAAGUAACCUAGAGUAAAGCCCUGCCCUGGUGUGUCUGGA